UAAUCAGGGAUGCAUUUUAGACUAUGAUUUUAAUUUUUCAAAAUUCAAACAUAAUUUCUUUGCUUGCUGUCAAAGAGUUCUUGUAUGGGUUUGUAGAGUGGUUUUUGACAGUAGUCUUGCUGGCUAUGGAUUCACGUUCGCAGCAGCCGAUGAUUAAUUUGUCAAGCUCAGGUUUGUACAAAAGAGGCAUGAUUUUGCAAUAGGAUGAGUUAAAUUGUGCUUUGCACCUCUGUGUGUGCGAGACUCAUGUAUUGUCUUUCAUGUGUAGGUCGGAAGAGGAACAAAGAAAAUCAAUCAGAUGCUUCACUUGCUGGUA
rnacentral:lncRNA from 1 species